AGGUGAAUUAUAGUGUUCAUUCUCUAUUUUACUCUCCAAAUAUAAAGAAUGGAGAGUAAAAUAGAGGUGAGUUGGAGAUGGUCUAAGAAAGAAUACACAAGUAGCUAAUUAACAAUACACAAAUACGCCCAUUGAUUUAAUUAUUUUUUGUAAUAUCAAUAAAGAAAUAGUAUUUGAUUAAAUUAAUAGAUAACUACACCAACCCAAAACCACUGCCUUCGAAUUAUUCUUGAUCCAAACACAUCCGCGUAAUUUGUUAUCCUCAUCGCUUAAUAAUAGCCGUGCUUCAUACCCUAUAAAUUGACUUUGACAGGCAUCCAAUUUUUCCAUGAAGGGAAAUUGGGACUUGAUAAAUUGAAAAUCAUCCUAGGUGGCUUCUUCAGGUUCAACCAAUGGUUUGCCAUUAUAUGAGCAAAGAGGAGGGUCUAUGGAUGGAAUUGUUUGUUUCCCAACUUUCUUCUUAAGUUGUGAAAUGUGGAACACAGGAUGUAUUUUUGCUGUCGGGGGUAACCUCAGCUAAUAGGCCACCAAUCCAAUCUUUCUGACGAUCUGAUAGGGUCCAUAGAAUUUUGAAGCUAACUAGAGCUAUUUGGCAUUACAGAGCAGUGGAUUCUUCUUUUCAUGGAGCGAUCUUGUUUGUCCACAUUAGUUGAGUCCUUUCUAUUUCAACCUUAUAUGGGUAUCGAUAAUUUUUAGUUAAAUUUUCGUCCCUUGUGGCUCCUCUUAUCUUUGUCAAAAUUACUAUUGUAUGGGAGUUUAUCAAUUAGGAUAUUAUUUUUUACACAGUGUUGUAUUUUCUCUGCUGCCAUAAAGUUCUUAUUUAAGAAGCAUAUGCUCUUCGAUGAUCCAAGUUGUGAGGUGCAUGGUGAUAAUGAGGUCUUUUGUGUGGACACCUGAAGAAGUACUCGGCCAAUGCUAGACCUUUUAAUAAUGAUGUAGAUUACAUCUUUA